rnacentral:rRNA from 1 species
GAUACGGAGAGUUUGAUCCUGGCUCAGAAUGAACGCUGGCGGCGUGCCUAACACAUGCAAGUCGAACGAGAAAGUUUCUUCGGAAACUAGUACAGUGGCGAACGGGUGAGUAACACGUGAGAAUCUACCUUUUAGUGAAGGAUACCCUCGAGAAAUCGAGACUAAUACUGCAUAAGCCCUGCGGGGGAAAGACGGCCUCUUUGCUGUCGCUAAAAGAUGAGCUUGCGGACUAUUAGCUAGUUGGUAGGGUAAUGGCCUACCAAGGCGAUGAUGGUUAGCCGACCUGAGAGGGUGACCGGCCACACUGGAACUGACACACGGCCCAGACUCCUACGGGAGGCAGCAGUGGGGAAUAUUGCACAAUGGGCGAAAGCCUGAUGCAGCGACGCCGCGUGGAGGAUGACGGUCUUCGGAUUGUAAACUCCUGUUAAGUGGGAAGAAAGACUCAUAAGUAAUAUGUAUGAGGGAUGACGGUACCACUAGAGAAAGCUCCGGCUAACUUCGUGCCAGCAGCCGCGGUAAUACGAAGGGAGCAAGCGUUAUUCGGAAUUACUGGGCGUAAAGAGCGCGUAGGUGGUUGAUUAAGUUGGUUGUUAAAUUCCUUGGCUCAACCGAGGUUCGGCAAUUGAUACUGGUCGACUAGAGGACAAGAGAGAGAAGUGGAAUUCUCGGAGUAGCGGUAAAAUGCAUAGAUCUCGAGAGGAACACCGGUUGCGAAGGCGGCUUCUUGGCUUGUUUCUGACACUAAAGCGCGAAAGCGUGGGGAGCAAACAGGAUUAGAUACCCUGGUAGUCCACGCCGUAAACGAUGAUCACUAGAUGUAGGUUUUGUUUUGCAAGAUCUGUGUCGAAGCUAACGCGUUAAGUGAUCCGCCUGGGGAGUACGGUCGCAAGAUUAAAACUCAAAGGAAUUGACGGGGGUCCGCACAAGCGGUGGAACAUGUGGUUUAAUUCGACACUACGCGAGGAACCUUACCUGGGUUUGACAUGUAAUCGACGAUCAUAGAGAUAUGGUUUUCCAAGUUUACUUGGACGGUUACACAGGUGCUGCAUGGCUGUCGUCAGCUCGUGU